CAGCCGCCGCGGUAAAACGGAGGGGGCUAGCGUUGUUCGGAAUUACUGGGCGUAAAGCGCACGUAGGCGGCUUUACAAGUCAGAGGUGAAAGCCUGGAGCUCAACUCCAGAAUUGGCUUUGAGACUGUAUCGCUUGAACACGGGAGAGGUGAGUGGAAUUCCGAGUGUAGAGGUGAAAUUCGUAGAUAUUCGGAAGAACACCAGUGGCGAAGGCGGCUCACUGGACCGUUGUUGACGCUGAGGUGCGAAAGCGUGGGGAGCAAACAGGAUUAGAUACCCCUGUAGUCCCUGUCUCUUAUAC
rnacentral:rRNA from 1 species